ensembl:Mt_tRNA
GCUGUUAAUGUAGCUUAUCCUAAAGCAAAGCACUGAAAAUGCUUAGAUGGACUAUAACUAGUCCCAUAAACAC